GGAAACUGNCAAUCUAGAGUAUCGGAGAGGAAAGUGGAAUUCCUAGUGUAGCGGUGAAAUGCGUAGAUAUUAGNAAGAACACCAGUGGCGAAGGCGACUUUCUGGACGAAAACUGACGCUGAGGCGCGAAAGCCAGGGGAGCGAACGGGAUUAGAUACCCCGGUAGUCCUGGCCGUAAACGAUGGGUACUAGGUGUAGGAGGUAUCGACCCCUUCUGUGCCGGAGUUAACGCAAUAAGUACCCCGCCUGGGGAGUACGACCGCAAGGUUGAAACUCAAAGGAAUUGACGGGGGCCCGCACAAGCGGUGGAGUAUGUGGUUUAAUUCGACGCAACGCGAAGAACCUUACCAGGUCUUGACAUUGAUGGACAGAACCAGAGAUGGUUCCUCUUCUUCGGAAGCCAGAAAACAGGUGGUGCACGGUUGUCGUCAGCUCGUGUCGUGAGAUGUUGGGUUAANNNNNNCAACGAGCGCAACCCCUAUCUUAUGUUGCCAGCACUUUGGGUGGGGACUCAUGAGAGACUGCCGCAGACAAUGCGGAGGAAGGCGGGGAUGACGUCAAAUCUUCAUGCCCCUUAUGACCUGGGCUACACACGUACUACAAUGGGAGUUAAUAGACGGAAGCGAGAUCGCGAGAUGGAGCAAACCCGAGAAACACUCUCUCAGUUCGGAUCGUAGGCUGCAACUCGCCUACGUGAAGUCGGAAUCGCUAGUAAUCGCAGGUCAGCAUACUGCGGUGAAUACGUUCCCGGGCCU
rnacentral:rRNA from 1 species